UACGUAGGGUGCGAGCGUUGUCUGGAAUUACUGGGCGUAAAGAGCUCGUAGGUGGUUUGUCACGUCGUCUGUGAAAUUCCGGGGCUUAACCUCGGGCGUGCAGGCGAUACGGGCAAUACUUGAGUGCUGUAGGGGAGACUGGAAUUCCUGGUGUAGCGGUGGAAUGCGCAGAUAUCAGGAGGAACACCGAUGGCGAAGGCAGGUCUCUGGGCAGUAACUGACGCUGAGGAGCGAAAGCAUGGGUAGCGAACAGGAUUAGA
rnacentral:rRNA from 1 species